rnacentral:rRNA from 1 species
GACGAACCGAGCGAACGUUAUUCGGAAUCACUGGGCUUAAAGGGGUGCGUAGGCGGCGCGGUAAGUCGGGUGUGAAAUCUCGGAGCUUAACUCCGUAAACUGCAUUCGAUACUGCCGGUGACUUGAGGACUGGAGAGGAGACUGGAAGUUUACGGUGGUAGCGGUGAAAUGCGUAGAUAUCGUGAAGGAAGACCAGUGGCG